GAUGAACGCUGGCGGCGUGCCUAAUACAUGCAAGUAGAACGCUGAAGGAAGGAGCUUGCUCUUUCCGGAUGAGUUGCGAACGGGUGAGUAACGCGUAGGUAACCUGCCUGGUAGCGGGGGAUAACUAUUGGAAACGAUAGCUAAUACCGCAUAACAGUAGAUGUUGCAUGAUAUCUACUUAAAAGGUGCAAUUGCACCACUACCAGAUGGACCUGCGUUGUAUUAGCUAGUUGGUGAGGUAACGGCUCACCAAGGCGACGAUACAUAGCCGACCUGAGAGGGUGGUCGGCCACACUGGGACUGGGACACGGCCCAAGCUCCUACGGGAGGCAACAGUAGGGAAUCUUCGGCAAUGGGCGGAAAUCUGACCGGACAACGCCGCGGGAGUGAAGGAGGUUUUCGGGUCGUAAAGCUCUGUUGUAAGAGAAAGACGAAUGUGGGAAUGAAAUGUUCACGCUGUGACGGUAUCUAACCAGAAAGGGACGGCUAACUACGUG
rnacentral:rRNA from 1 species